rnacentral:tRNA from 1 species
GCCCCCGUAGCUCAGGGGAUAGAGCAGCAGUUUCCUAAACUGUUAGUCGCAGGUUCGAUUCCUGCCGGGGGCGCCA